rnacentral:rRNA from 1 species
AUGAAUCUGGGCAAUGGUCCUCAAGAUGCAUCUGCCACUCUGGAACAAGCAAGAGAUGGUACCCCAAUGGAAAUCUCGUGGGUGAAAAAGAAGUUGCUAAACAUCAGAAAGGAAAUCUCUGUGAAGAAGUCACAAGUGCCAUCAAAUUAUGCAGCUGGGCAACACCAGAUUUUGCUUGGUUCCAUGGUUAAUUCAGAAGGUAAUAAAAGAAUUCUUGGUUUCCCUAUUAAUGCAGCCAUCGAUAGAGAUUCUCAACUCUCAUGCACUAUGCACAUGGGCACAGAUAGCACACCCAUGAGUAAGGGUGUCGCUAACAUGGAAAUGCAAUUCCAGAACAAGGAUGACACCAAUGCCAGGAAUCUCAUUGACCUGAAUGUUGCACUGCCUUUCAUUGAUGAAAUGGAUAUAGAUGCCCGCCUCUCAGAAGGCGACACUGUUCCUCAAGAACAUGAUCAUUCUUCCAAUGAAGCUCUUGUUGUGACUUCUACGAAGAAUCUUAUGGCCAUGCAUAAUGAUAAGUUCCAAGCAAGAUCACCUGAAGGUAAUAAUAAUGAUGAUGACUGUGAAGCUUUGAAAAUGUAG